UAACAAAUUUAAUUGUAAAUAUACAUAUAGUAAUUUAAGUUUUGUUUAUUAUUUUUGUUACAACAUGUAGAAAUUGAAUUUUAACUUGCAUGUUUGUGGAUUGAUAUACUACAUAUUAUCUAUCUUGUUCAUAUUUUUUCAAUUUUUUUCAUAACCAUUUAGAUGACAUGCAAUAAACGGGUGGACGUCCAUUCGAGCUAUUAAAACAGUUUCCCGAGAGGACAUGAGGAGAGGUGAGGAUGAAUUUUCUGGAAAUUUUGGAGAAGGCUGAGAGUUUGAUUAUUGUUUUUCGGAUAUGCUACACCGCUCAAAGGCUUGUGCAAAUAUUACUGGAAGUUUGUGUGGUCAUGAACUUCAUUUGGUAUGUUACAUUUGAUGCCUCAGUUUUGGCCACUCAUCAACCCCAUUCGAGUACUUCUGUCUUCUUGAGAGACAGGCCAAUAAUCAUCAAUGGCGGCCACUUACUGAAUGAAGAACAUCGUGUGGCAUAUGCAUAGUAUUUCACUGUGUUAAUAUUCUGUGCCAGGGGCCGAUGGCUAAGAUUGAUUUUUCUCGUCAGGAAAAGUCGAUUGUCUGGUAAUGACACUUAAUUUUUUUCUCCCUGAGGACGAGUCGACGGACGACAGUGCUGAUAUGGUACGUCUAGCUGGUAGCCUGGUACCAAGCGACCGUAUAUGUAGCUGGUGUGUUUAGUGUGCAUGUCCUAUAAACUAGAAACUGGGAUAUCUCGUUAAUAAUUGAUAGUUUGAUACUGCAUCAAGAGAGGAGUCGUUGAUUGCAUCGACAGAUGUCGGCCCAGGUGUUCCUAUGAUCGUGUAUCUAUUAUUGCAUACUGGUCUCUCGAUCCAUCCACGAAGUCAAGGAGGAAAGAGGACCACACAUCAGUCAAUUGAAACUAAAAGGUAAUUUAUCUAUC